rnacentral:rRNA from 1 species
CCUACGGGAGGCAGCAGUGGGGAAUUUUGGACAAUGGGCGAAAGCCUGAUCCAGCAAUGCCGCGUGAGUGAAGAAGGCCUUCGGGUUGUAAAGCUCUUUUGUCAGGGAAGAAACGGUGAGAGCUAAUAUCUCUUGCUAAUGACGGUACCUGAAGAAUAAGCACCGGCUAACUACGUGCCAGCAGCCGCGGUAAUACGUAGGGUGCAAGCGUUAAUCGGAAUUACUGGGCGUAAAGCGUGCGCAGGCGGUUUUGUAAGUCUGAUGUGAAAUCCCCGGGCUCAACCUGGGAAUUGCAUUGGAGACUGCAAGGCUAGAAUCUGGCAGAGGGGGGUAGAAUUCCACGUGUAGCAGUGAAAUGCGUAGAUAUGUGGAGGAACACCGAUGGCGAAGGCAGCCCCCUGGGUCAAGAUUGACGCUCAUGCACGAAAGCGUGGGGAGCAAACAGGAUUAGAUACCCUGGUAGUCCACGCCCUAAACGAUGUCUACUAGUUGUCGGGUCUUAAUUGACUUGGUAACGCAGCUAACGCGUGAAGUAGACCGCCUGGGGAGUACGGUCGCAAAGAUUAAAACUUAAUGAAAUUGACGG